AGGGGACGGCGAUCUCCCCACGAGGCGACAGGCCGAAGUAUCGCGUCCCGCUCCCAUGCUCGGACGCGCCAUG
rnacentral:ncRNA from 1 species